rnacentral:rRNA from 1 species
AACGAACGCUGGCGGCAGGCCUAACACAUGCAAGUCGAGCGCCCUUUCGGGGGAGAGGCGGACGGGUGAGUAACGCGUGGGAAUAUGCCCUUCUCUACGGAAUAGCCUCGGGAAACUGAGAGUAAUACCGUAUACGCCCUGUGGGGGAAAGAUUUAUCGGGGAAGGAUUAGCCCGCGUUGGAUUAGGUAGUUGGUGGGGUAAUGGCCUACCAAGCCGACGAUCCAUAGCUGGUUUGAGAGGAUGAUCAGCCACACUGGGACUGAGACACGGCCCAGACUCCUACGGGAGGCAGCAGUGGGGAAUCUUAGAAAAUGGGGGCAACCCUGAUCUAGCCAUGCCGCGUGAGUGAUGAAGGCCUUAGGGUUGUAAAGCUCUUUCAGCUGGGAAGAUAAUGACGGUACCAGCAGAAGAAGCCCCGGCUAACUCCGUG